CAGUGCAGUGUGUAUCCACAC
rnacentral:miRNA from 1 species